GGGGGUAUAGCUCAGUGGUAGAGCAAUCGACUGCAGAUCGAUAGGUCCAUUGUUCAUCUCCGUGUGCCCCCG
rnacentral:tRNA from 1 species